ACCUAGGUCAUAAGACUUAACUUCUAGUUUUUUUUCUAAGUCUUUACUCGUCGUCUUCUUCUCUAAAAAAAGUUCUCUCAUCUCUAGAUCCACACCACCGCCUAGCCACAUACCUUUUCAGUUGGCAUGGUCUCGUCUCCUCCGUCUUCCACCGUUAAAGCCUCAUGGAUUUGAAUCGGUGUGUCAAGGAGAUGAAUUCGCACAAGAUAAAUUGAAUCGGUAAGGAGAUCGGAAACCAGAUGGUGGUGACAAGAAGGAGAAGAAGUUCGAACGAGCCGCACCACCUGCUCGUGUUGGGAGGAAGCAACGGAAGCAGAAAGGACUUGAAGCGGCGGCUAAAUUUCAGACCGUGACUCCUACUAAAUGAAAGCUUCGAUUGCUUAAUAUAAAGCGAUUAGUACAUAAAUGAUUGGAUCAUGACCCUCUAUUUCCCUGAUUCGAAAAUACGAAGCUAGUCGAAAAGCUGAAUGAUGCAUACAAGAAAUUCAUGGAUUUGCCUAACGACUUAUUUUUCAGUUUUGUCUACGACUCUAGCAUGGAUUGUUGAGUGUUAUAUCUUUUUAAUAUGUCUUAUGCUUGCUUUGAUUUGUUGUUAAUAUGUCUUUUUAAGGAGAUGAAAUCCACCGAUAGCCUGGUAUGCUUCCACUUUCUCGUCUCUCAUGCUAGUAAAUUUAUGCUUGCUUUGAUUUGUUGUUAUGUAAUUGAUUUUAUUUUAAGGGGUUACGUUUUUAGAGUUCUAUUUGCACACAAGGUGUUCGACGAAUUGACUGUGAGACAGAAACUGAGAAACGACUCUCUCAACAUGUCUUCCUAUGAUGAUCUUUCAUGUUUGCUAAUUGAAUGUAAAAAUUUGACCUUUGCUUUUGUAGUCUAAAAUGGUGGACUAUAUCCUUGAAGUCUCUAAUCCUAUGAAACAGCACUUUGAGGUGAGUAAUAUUUUUUGUCUGUAAGCUCUUAGUGCUAAGAAGUUUGUAAUUGUGAUUUGGCAGCUCAUUUUAAUGUGGAGGGUUUUGGUUAUGUCCAGUUAACACUAUAACCUCAAGUUUUGUGAAUAGAAAAACGUCUAUAGAUUAAGACCACCACUAGGUAACUAGAAACUCUUCAUUCAAGAGAAUGGCUCUGCUUUCAUGUUCGAAGAGAGAUCUAUUAAUAAGAUGGUUGUUGGCAUUCUCUCUUCAUGCACCAUCAAAAGUGUGUUCUUGUAGACACUCAUGAUGUUGGUAAUAACUGUAAGGUCACAGCUUUUAUUGGAGGUAUAGAUCUUUGUGAUGGCCGCUAUGACACACCUGAUCUUGAAACUGUGUUUAAGGAUGAUUUUCACAAUCCUACAUUUCCUGCUGGUACUAAGGAUCCAAAACAGCCUUGGCAUGAUUUGCACUGAAUGAUAGAUGGGCAUGCGGUCAAUGCAAGAAGGACGUCAUUGUAAGGAGGACAUAGAGAACAUGACAUGGAAAUGGCAACAAUAGUCUAGAGUAUUGGAUUAAACUUUGCUAGGGCGGAUAAUGACCAAGAGAUCUUCCUCUUCCAACCUCUUCUUCUAUGAACUACAAAGUGAUGAUUUCAAGGUAAAAGUUAUGGCUGAUGGCACGUGAAUGCUUUGUUUAGGCGGUAAGAUUUAGAAAAGAAAAUUUGUUUGAUCAAGUUAGUUGAUUGUGUUUGGUAGAAUCUGUGAUUGUCGAUAGGAGAAGUUUGUUUCUCUUUGCCCCUUAUCUCAUAAAUUAGUACUCUUGUUAUUUAAGAGUCGUUGAUGUAUUUAUAUAAGAUUUGGUUUGGAUUA